ACUUUAUCUCCACGCUCCCCUCCUCCCUCACUGACCAGUCUACCUCUGACCAUCGUGCCCGUGAUACUGCCAGAUCCAUCUCCUGAACCACAGCUCCGGCAGCCCCCAACGCUGUUCCAAGCGCUGCAUGUUAUCCAACCCACUUAACCUUCAACAACAAGUCCAUGAAGUAGGUGCUUCAUUUUACAGGGCCUCAAAUGAAGGACACCUCUUCCAGAAGUCCGCCCUGCUCUCCACAAUGAGAAGCAC